AAUUAAACUAAUAAGCGAGGAAUAUCCUAAGUCUAAAAUCAUAUUUCAUAUAAUAAUAUCAGGCGAGAUUUUAAGUCUCUAUAAAAAUCUGGCCUGGUCUGCAAAAACUUGUGAUUCCAAAUAAAAACUAAGAGAUGAGAGAGAGAGAUAUGGCUAAGAGCAUUGUGAGAAAUGCAAUUGUAAUAAUGUUGAUAACUGAAAUGGUUAUUUGUUCAGUUAAUGCGAAAUUUGAUAAUACAAUUCCUGAAGAAGAAAGAAGUUGGAGUCCAUAUUAUUAUAUUGCAUUUGAUGCGAAGGAGUGUAUAAGCAAGUGCUGGAGUCAGUAUCCCUAUAUAUCAAGGAAGUUAAGGGAAUGCCUUACUUAUUGCUAUGAUCAGGUCGGUGGCACUGACUAAUAGUACCUAUUAAUGCAACGUGUCGGACGAAUGUCGGUGAGCAUUAUGUCCGAAAUGUGUCCGACACGCAAAUACAGUAACUCAGCGAAGUGUCCGUGCUUCAUAGUUCAAGUGACAGAUCUGAGCUUCUGUAAUCAGUGGAUGCUUUUGCCAGAUUUGCCAAGAAAAACAAAAUACUAAGAAACAAGGGAGUGACAUGUGGUGACAUCAAUAAUGUUGACAGAUGUAUGGCAUUAGGAGUGGAACUUGCACACAAGCUAGCUUGCUUUCUUUCUGUUGUGGACAUUUAAAUAAUUCAAUGGAAACCAAUUUAAGUCGCUAACAAUUUUGGGUGUGUUUGGUAACCACGUUUGAAGGAAAAAAGCACGUUAGAGCUUCUUGAAAGUUUCAUUUUUUUGUUGGCUAAUUUUUUUUCUACAAACGCAGAAGUGAUUUUGUUCAUAAAAUCACGUUUACAAGAAGCAAUAAUUUCUAGCUUCUCCGUUGCACUAACGUGCUUUUAGCCAAUA